CGGCCAUGUGGCCGUAAAUAUGCACCCCGCAGGUACCGCAGACCGCUGCUUGCAUGGCGCAGGUUUCGGCAUUCGCUUGCAUUUCAUUGCCGGUGCCUAAGCGGCUAUUGGAUGCCGAUUGCAAGCCGUGCGGGGUGCCCAUGAAAUCCGAAGAGCGG
rnacentral:sRNA from 12 species